rnacentral:lncRNA from 1 species
CAGGAAUGUGUGCGUGGUUGGAUUGAAGGUAGAUCACUUCACGCUUGCGAGCAGCAACGACAACACACAAUUUUUGUGGCGCUGUACUUCCAUUGCGUUAUAUCAGCAAAUGGGAGAGACGGCAGUUUUGCUCUCCUAAAGUCAAUUCGACAUCUCAUUUUAAGAAGCUACAUUACAUUAAAGGCUACUGACAACAGAGCUCACCCCUACAUCGGUAUCAAUCAAGACAAGACAGUCGUCAAUAGCAGAGGGACCGAAGAUCGGAAAGCAGAAAGCAGAAAGCCAGUUUACGAAGCUAAGUUAAAUUACAGUCUUUUUAAUUUGCAAAAAUGUAGUUGCAGAUGUUGAAAUUCACAGAAGAUUUUUUUGAGAACGGAGAGAAUUCUGGUUCCGAACGAAGAGGGUUCUGGAGAUUUGCUUUCCCACCGUGAAUUGUGGGGACUUUUACACUAGUUCUUUUGUUAUAAGAUGUAACCAGUCCCAGAAAAUGGUCAAUUUCUGAAAACCCACACUCUACUUGUUUGAGACGAAAUAUAGGCCCUUGAUUGAAUCGAUGUUCUGCCAUAUAAGUUGUUGGAAACCCAUAAUAAAGCCGUUUAUCAUUAAUCCUUUGUAAGUUUCAAUUCAGUGACAACAUUUGAAUGUCGUCCGAAAAGGGAGUAGAUAGCCCUGGCAUCACUAUCAGUCAAAUUUGGUGAUACGCCCAUAUUUCUUUGUUCCUUGACAACGCAUUGAUUCACGUUGAAGUUUGAUCUGAAAAUCUUAAUAUCACCUUGUGAGCGUUUGACCAAUCAGGUUUUCCUGGGUUUCACAGAAAUUGGUUUUUCCAAUUGUUCCAAUUCCUACCAUCAUAUGUGUCUUUAAAUUGAGUGUACCAAAAUAGUACGACCGCUGGAAAAGGGGGCAAUUGCAAGAACAAGGAUAGUUGUCUUAGAGGACGGCUUGGAACACUCCAGUUUCCUUCAGAAAGCCAUAGACUAGAGAGCACAGUGCUCAAACCAAAAGUGGUUGGUUCUAAAAAUGCGCAAAACGGGGUUGAAGUGUUGAGGAAGUUGGUUCAGAAGCUCAUCUUCAACAGCGAUAAUUGGAGGCAGCGGAUUCCUCCAUCAGCCAAAAGUCAAGAGCUGGAUAUAGUCUCGCCAGUCAACUGCCUUCCAUGCUACUCGAGUCACAAGCCCCAUCAACAGUCUCGCAGUACAGAUCAUCCUUCACGAGAUGGCGACAAUAGGCAGAGUUGCACGGAAUAUCAUCCCUACCCGCAGAUCCUUACACGGUAGCCUUAUACCUGAUCCAUAUUGGAACUCUGCAACAUCACCAUGCACCUACAGUCACAAACUCUUUAUCUGCCAUGUCAUGGGUUCAUCUCAUGGCUAGUUGGGGACCAUGAUACAACCAAAGACCCUCUCGUGUCAUACACCGCGCUAAAGGUCUGACAAGAACACUGGUUAAGCCAAAGAAAGAUCCAAUUACACCAGAUAUUCUUUCUGAGAUGGUGCCAAAAUAGGGUAAAAACCGUUCAGUACACAUCUUAUUUCAUAUAAGAAUCAUGGUCAAGGCCCUUAUUUCAUAUACCGGGUCUUACCGGGUCUUAUCGACUCAGUGAGUUAGCCGCACUUUAAUUGACGUAUUUACGUGUUAUCUCAUGCACUCGGCAAUGUGAAUUCAGUUAUUAUUGACAGGUAAUUAUUGUCAACAUGUACAGUUGCAAUGUUGGAAUUGUAUGUCAAGUGAGUCAAAGUCUUCCCUUCAGAUAAAGACCUUCUUUUGUGUUCAGAAACUUAAACAAAUGUUAAAGAAGAGUAUAAAGUGUUUUCACAGAGGUAUAAACCGAUGAAGUACUCGAGAGUUUGAGAGGGAAGGUUCGAGUUUUCCUAGAGCAGCCCCAUGCUGCUGUUGGAGUCUUAGCGGCUAUCAAAGCAGAUAUCCAACAGGCUGUUCAAGCGUCAUGGACGCUAUAUCAGAGACAGCGAAGGAUACUUUAAUAUAUCCAAGAGAGUGAUUGCAAUACGAUGUUAAAUAUCUAAAUCCUUUUGGGGAUUCAGCAUUACAGACCCGUUCUUUAUAGUUCAUACCGGUUGCUGCUGCAAGCACAAAUACCAAAAUCAGGAUGAUUUGAUUGUUUAUUGUGUAGAA